UGGGUGUUCAAGAAUAUUCUGGAGCUCCAUAACAGCUUCUUAUUUUCAAACACUCUUUAAAUGCAAAAUAAAAAUCUCAGAAAAAAGACCACGGCAGCUUUUUGUCUUCUUUCCUCUCAUAAAACAACCUCCACAUUCGUCAGGUGACCCUACUGAGGGCUCCGACCCAUAUGUUGGGAACCACUGUGCAUGCAGACGGCUCCAGCUGUGAUGCAUCAUCAGGCAGCAAAACAAAGUUUGAAGUUUUGGAGGAAAACAGUUUGAGCUGCUUGCAGAAGCUUUACUUCUUUACUGAUUUAGAGCUUCUGACAGAAGGCAGCAGACGACACUACAUUUAAUGUGACCUCCUAACCAUCCUACUACAGCUUUAACUACAACAUGAAUAAAUAUUUCAUAACAUUUUAAUUCAAAUAUUUUUCUCUUUUCUUGGAAAUAAUUUUGGAUUUUUGACCUUGACGAGAAUUUUUCUCAUUUUUCAUUUUUUACAAAUCAAAUAAUCAGCUAAGAAUUAUUCAAAUGAGAAUAUUAACAAUCUAUAAUUAAGAAAAUUCAUCUCUGGGCAGGGUUUGCACAGAAGGAGUACUUGUACUUUGCGGUAUUACUACUUGAAUAAUCUGACGGCUUCCUGCACUGCUGGAUAAACAGGAGGUUAAAUAUUUCCGCCUGUGAUCUCGUCUUAUCUCUCCUCCAGCAUCUGUCGCCCUGCAGCAGCCCCCCGGCCGCCGUCACUUCACAGUUUAAAGUGUUUUUUUAAAAAGUAAAAGAAAACCACCCGAAACACUUAUUUCAGUGUAAUUCCGUGUCUGACACAUUCAGGUAAAAGUGCGUAACCUCCUCACAGCUUCCUGUCCUCCCCCCUCCCUGCUGCAGAGGUGGGCCGUUCCCUCUGCUCUGCUCCUGUGUGGGACGAACCAUCUGAGAGCUGCGGGGGUGCUGCUGCUCUGCUGCGUCAGACCACCUGCUGAGGCUGCGGCCGACAUGACUGAACACAGAUCAGAUCCUCCUCCGUCCUUCAGGCUCCGUCAUGUUCGACUCGCUGUAACACACUGACGGCAGACAGCUGCAGCUGCUGUGCACAGGCCGUCUUAGAUCAUUUUGACCUCCAUGUUUAAACUAAGACUUCACACUCUACAGCUGGUUUGGGCUGAGUUGGUAUCUGGAGCUGGAGAUGUGAAAGAACGUAGAUGCAGUAGAUGCAAGCUGACGUCUCAGAGUCCUCUUCUUCUUGAUCCUUCCUGUAAAGAGAAACUCAUAUGAUCAAACACACAGCAGCAGCUUCAUUAACAGCUGUGAGAGAAAGCCUGGGAGACGUGCUCUGGCCCUUUACUCGAUUUCAAAUACCCCAAAAUACCCAAAUAUUGACAGAAGUGUAAAAAUUACAAGCACUCAUUAUACAAGCUGGUCCAUUCAUGUUGUCGUUUUGGUGGUUAUUAAUAUUUUUUCACAGGCUUUGACACAAACGUGAUUCCCUUUCUGCUCGGCUGAUGCUGUAAAAUAAAUGUAUCAAACUUUAAAAUGAAGAUGACUAAAGACUGUCUAAGGAAGCGCAUCAUAUCAGAGUUUAUGAUGUUUCCAUGCGACUCAUCUGGGUUCACAUCAGGAGCUAAAUGCACGGAGG
ensembl:lncRNA